CUUAGAGCCUGCUACCACAGCCUAAUCACUGCCCUCUAGACCUCAGCCCGGCAACAGUCCUGAUAGUGCCUUUGUUUCUUCAGCUCAUCUCUCGGGCCAGCACCCUCCUCCCCAAGGUACAGCCCAGGGGAACUCCAAGCCCACUUCUAUUUCCCCAGCUUUCUCUCAGGGUGGCCAAGUCUGGAGUCUAGGAUCGCCAACCCAGAACGCUCCCAGGAUCAUUCACAACCACUGAGAUGGACCUACAGGCGCUCCAAAACCUAGAUGAAGGCAGGCUUGCGGAGGUGUGUGAAGUGCGCCCUCGCCUGCCAGGGAAGGGCAAUGGCGGAAGCCAGUCUGGGUUAUGGCACGGCAUCUGAAUCUGGGGUAGGCAUCAACUUCUGACCAUAGAAGACUCAGGUUGCCACUAGAUGGUCUGAAUGAGAACUGUCCUGUGGUCGGGGGCAAUUGAACGCGUGUGCUGCUGCUGCUGGGGGAGGUUCAGGUGGCAGAGCCUUGCUGAAGGCAAUGUGUUGCUGCAGGGAGGGCCCUUAACAUUCCUGCCUGCAUCUGAAAA